GGUGCUGUGGCUCAGCGGGUUAAAGCUCUGGCCUGCAGUGCUGGCAUCCCAUGUGGGUGCUGGUUCGAGUCCUGGCUGCUCCA
rfam:Oryctolagus cuniculus chromosome X, whole genome shotgun sequence.